GUCACUUCUCAGCCUUCUGUCUAAGAUCAAGUGUAGCAUCUGUUCUUAUCAGUUUAAUAUCUGAUAUGUCUUCUACUUUAGGACAAUACAUUAAAUGGAUUUUUGGGACUAGGAGAUGGAAUAGGAGCUGCUCCGUCCACUCCUCGCAUCGACCUGGUAUUGCAGUGCCUCCAGGAACGAUGCACAAAAA
rnacentral:snRNA from 1 species